CACCGCGGUUAUACGAGAGGCCCAAGUUGAUAAACACCGGCGUAAAGAGUGGUUAAUAGCCCCCCCCACUAAAGCCGAACGUCUCCAAAGUUGUACAACACAUUCGAAGAUAUGAAGACCUACCACGAAAGUGACUUUAUGACCUUGAACCCACGAAAACUAAGAAA
rnacentral:rRNA from 1 species